rnacentral:rRNA from 1 species
ACGACUCUCGGCAACGGAUAUCUUGGCUCUCGCAUCGAUGAAGAACAUAGCGAAAUGCGAUACCUGGUGUGAAUUGCAGAAUCCCGCGAACCAUCGAGUCUUUGAACGCAAGUUGCGCCCGAGGCCACUCGGCCGAGGGCACGCCUGCCUGGGCGUCACGC